CAGGCGGGCAGUUUGACUGGGGCGGUCGCCUCCCAAACGGUAACGGAGGCGUACAAAGGUUUCCUCUGAACGGUUAGAAAUCGUAUCUAGAGUGUAAAGGCAUAAGGAAGCUUGACUGUGAGACCUACAAGUCGAGCAGGGACGAAAGUCGGUCUUAGUGAUCUGACGGUACUGAGUGGAAAGGCCGUCACUCAACGGAUAAAAGUUACUCUAGGGAUAACAGGCUGAUCUCCCCCAAGAGUUCACAUCGACGGGGAGGUUUGGCACCUCGAUGUCGGCUCAUCGCAUCCUGGG
rnacentral:rRNA from 1 species